CUGAGACACGGACCAGACUCCUACGGGAGGCAGCAGUGAGGAAUAUUGGUCAAUGGGAGAGAUCCUGAACCAGCCAAGCCGCGUGAGGGAAGACGGCCCUAUGGGUUGUAAACCUCUUUUGUCGGAGAACAAAACCCGGGACGUGUCCCGGACUGCGUGUAUCCGAAGAAAAAGCAUCGGCUAACUCCGUGCCAGCAGCCGCGGUAAUACGGAGGAUGCGAGCGUUAUCCGGAUUUAUUGGGUUUAAAGGGUGCGUAGGCGGUCCGUUAAGUCAGCGGUAAAAUUGCGGGGCUCAACCCCGUCGAGCCGUUGAAACUGGCAGACUUGAGUUGGCGAGAAGUACGCGGAAUGCGCGGUGUAGCGGUGAAAUGCAUAGAUAUCGCGCAGAACUCCGAUUGCGAAGGCAGCGUACCGGCGCCAGACUGACGCUGAGGCACGAAAGCGUGGGGAUCGAACAGGAUUAGAUACCCUGGUAGUCCACGCAGUAAACGAUGAAUGCUGGUUGUCCGGGUCGAAUGAGACCUGGGCGGCGA
rnacentral:rRNA from 1 species